GAUGAACGCUGGCGGCGUGCCUAAUACAUGCAAGUCGAGCGAACAGACGAGGAGCUUGCUCCUCUGACGUUAGCGGCGGACGGGUGAGUAACACGUGGAUAACCUACCUAUAAGACUGGGAUAACCUCGGGAAACCGGAGCUUAUACCGGAUAAUAUCUUGAACCGCAUGGUUCAAUAGUGAAAUACGGUUUUGCUGUCACUUAUCGCUGGAUCCGCGCCGCAUUAGCUAGUUGGUGAGGUAACAGCUUACCAAGGCAACGAUGCGUAGCCGAACUGAGGGGGUGAUCGGCCACACUGGAACGGGGACAGGGUCCAGAGUCCUACGAGACGCACCAGUCGGGUACCUGACGCAGUGGUCGAAAGCAUGACGGAGUGACGGCGCGUCAGAGACGGAGGUGCUCGGAGCGGAAAGCUCUGUUAUUAGUUGAGAACAGAUGUGUAAGUAACUGUGCACGGAGUGACGGUACCUAAUCAGAAAGCAACGGCUAACUACGUG
rnacentral:rRNA from 1 species